GACGAACGCUGGCGGCGUGCUUAACACAUGCAAGUCGAACGGUGAAGCGCCUUCCUUUUUGGUGGGUGUGGAUGAGUGACGAACGGGUGAGUAACACGUGAGUAACCUGCCCCCUUCUUCUGGAUAACCGCAUGAAAGUGUGGCUAAUACGGGAUAUUCUGGGUCUGUCGCAUGAUGGGUCUGGGAAAGAUAUUGUUUCGGUGGGGGAUGGGCUCGCGGCCUAUCAGCUUGUUGGUGGGGUGAUGGCCUACCAAGGCGGUGACGGGUAGCCGGCCUGAGAGGGUGGACGGUCACACUGGGACUGAGACACGGCCCAGACUCCUACGGGAGGCAGCAGUGGGGAAUAUUGCACAAUGGGCGCAAGCCUGAUGCAGCGACGCCGCGUGAGGGAUGGAGGCCUUCGGGUUGUGAACCUCUUUCGCCAGUGAAGCAGGCCUGCCUCGUUUGUGGGUGGGUUGACGGUAGCUGGAGAAGAAGCGCCGGCUAACUACGUA
rnacentral:rRNA from 1 species